CCGAAGCGCGUGAAAAAAGAAUACGACCUUUACACCCAAACGGAACCUUAAUCGUCAGGCCUCAAACCCUAUCCAUCCCCCCCACCCCCAAUUCUGUAUCGCGUUCAGAAUCCAGAUCCCUCUUCCUUCCUUCUGGCCUUAAAGUUCUUAUGAAGGUCAAACUCUUGGACCCCUAGCAUUUCGCUCUCCGUCCUGGAUCCCGACGUCAGUUGAUGAGUCCUUCGGCAACGCCAAACCCUAGAUUCUUUUCCUUGUCUUUUUGUUUUUAAUUAAUGGCGAUGGAGGGCUCUGUGGAGGAUCUCGGAGCCCCGGAGUCUUGGGAGGUCGCCGAUUUGGACGAGUCCAUGAACCGCCUGCUGCUCUCCUCCAAGCCCCCCCUAGUACGGAGCGAGGGCUCUGCUCCAGCUUCAGCUCCUUCCUCGGUUUCAUCGACAUUGAAUUUAGCUUCGGCGUUGCCCCGUGGUGAUGGUAGCGAGAACGUGUUGGACGAUGCUGUUAAUCAGGUCGAUCAGUUUCUUCGCGAAGCUUUGCAGAACCCUCGUGAGCGCUUAUCAAUUUUAAGGAUGGAGCAAGAUGUUGAGAAGUUUAUCCGUGAUCCUACCCAACACCAACUAGAAUUUCAACAGCUGCCUACAUCCUAUUUACGAUUGGCUGCACAUCGGGUGGCACAGCAUUACUCGCUGCAGUCAAUGGUUUUAUUGGACAAUAGUUUGCCUGAUGGUUCAGGUUCCAGAAUUAUUGUUCGAAAAACUUCAGAGUGUCAGCUUCCUCUGAUUCGCCUUGCAGAUAUUCCUGCAAAUAUACCAUCAGAAGAUAAUAGUGCCAUUAAGGUUGCAAUCAAGCAGAGGCCAUCGAAACGGUCUCAGAUUGUCGGCAAUGCAAUUUCAAAUUCUUCGAAGGCAGGCAAUUCCAAAAGCGUAGAGGAGAGAAAAGAGGAGUAUAACAGGGCUCGUGCUAGAAUAUUCAACUCUACUAAUAAUAUUGGUGGUGGAAUGAGUGGGAAGCCAGAAAGUGAGGCUAGGCUACAGGAUAAUCCCCAGCAUGGUUCCUUGGGUAUUUCAAAGAUGGAAGAGAAAUCUGUUCCAGGCAUUACAGCUGUGAAUUCUGGUGGAGGUCUAAUUGAUUCUUCAACAAGUAGCAGUAGAUCAGCUAGAAUUAGGACAGAGAAGGAGCCAAUUGGUCGGAUCAAACCAAAUAGUAAGGUGGCUAUUUUCAGGGACCGUGAGGUUGAUCGCAAGGAUCCUGAUUAUGACAGGAGUUAUGACAGGUAUACACAAAGAUUCGAUCCUGGUUUUGGGUUUAACGGAGGACCAUAUACCAUGCAGCCUAUGUACACCCCUGCAGUGAACUACAACACUGAAUUUCCACAACUUGGUUCUACUCAUAGGCCCCAGAUUUCUCCUGAGCACCAACCUCACCCGCUUCCUCAACAUCUGCCUGGGGCUUGGGGUGCACCAUCAACCCCUACAGGAAUUGGGUAUGGCCAUCCAGAGACCAUGAUGGCGCCAUUCAAUCCUAAUCAUGUUGGUGCUCGCUCCACAUCGGCCAUAUACCUGCAUUCCUCUCAGUACCCUUGUCAGCAUCCGGGGAUGCCUUUCAUUCAUACUCGUGAACAAGUUCACCAAUCAUUUUCGCAGCCCAACCCAUGAGAUUUUGCAUUUGUGGAAACCGAAACUUACAUGUUCUUUGCCAACCACACCCAACCAAGGUCCACAUCAUUCCUCCAUCCCAUUGACUUCUUUGGAGUCUCACCAGCAGCAACCUGAUGCAAGUUUUGGAUUAGCCCGGCCCCGAUGAGGGCAUGGGCCAUGCCUGCACACUGCCAGUUGGAAGUCAGUCUUGUAGCAUGAUGAGGGCCUAUCACGUUUGUUCAUAUUAUCUUUAGCUGGCAGAAGUGCAGGCAUAGAGAACUGAGAUGGGCUGGAGUGGAUGCAUUGUGCACCCCAUUCUUUGAUUCAUUCCACCAUCUUGGUCUUGAUGGAAGCUUCUUACAUCUUUGAUGGAUGAUGAAGCUCACUCGGUUUACGAAUUCCAUUGAUGGAAGCUUCUAGCAUCUUUGAUGAACGAUGAAAAAACUUACUGGUUUUACUGUUACAUCAUUUAGUUGUGGUCUCUUGAAGCUAUGAUUUGCCGCAGAUGAUGAUGAACAUGGAGAAUAGAAGAAGAAUUUUAUUAGAGCUGGGAAAGUAAUGGAGCAGUUUGGAUGAAGGUCAACUCUUCAAAACCAUCAAGCUCUGUUUUAUGUCUUCAAUGUUUUAUUGACAGAGAACAGACAGGUAAAUAAAUUUGAUUUUUACAGCUUAACUACUCAAUUAAGUUCGAGCAUCACCAAUGUAUGGGGUUUCUUUUCGGCAACAACAUCGUCAAGAAUCGAAGUCAAUGCUUUCAAGGAAGAUUCAGCCAGUUGGUUGUUUGGCUCAUAGGAGAGAUUUGGCGUGCAUCCCCUGGCUUUUAUUUUUUUAAGAUCCGAUCAUCACUUGCUAUGCAUUCCUGCGACAGUCGUUUUUAGAAAGAAGAAAGCAGAUCACAUUAUGUACCAUAUCCGCCAUUUUGGUCCCUGUAAUUAUAUCUUUUGAUCAAUAUUUUCAAUUUCAUUGGGCACAUAUUACUCAUAUCUGUAUUUUUUGCUGAUUCUGAAAAUGCCGAUAGUUGUGACUACCUAAAUUUAUGGACAUAAUUAACCUCUCAAUGUACUCUAAAAACCGAUAACUGGUUCCUUGUUUUUAAA